AACGAACGCUGGCGGCAGGCCUAACACAUGCAAGUCGAGCGCAUCUUCGGGUGAGCGGCGGACGGGUUAGUAACGCGUGGGAACGUACCCUUUUCUACGGAAUAGCCUUUGGAAACGAAGAGUAAUACCGUAUACGCCCUUUGGGGGAAAGAUUUAUCGGAGAAGGAUCGGCCCGCGUUAGAUUAGAUAGUUGGUGGGGUAACGGCCUACCAAGUCUACGAUCUAUAGCUGGUUUUAGAGGAUGAUCAGCAACACUGGGACUGAGACACGGCCCAGACUCCUACGGGAGGCAGCAGUGGGGAAUCUUAGACAAUGGGCGCAAGCCUGAUCUAGCCAUGCCGCGUGAGUGAUGAAGGCCUUAGGGUCGUAAAGCUCUUUCGCCUGUGAUGAUAAUGACAGUAGCAGGUAAAGAAACCCCGGCUAACUCCGUGCCAGCAGCCGCGGUAAUACGGAGGGGGUUAGCGUUGUUCGGAAUUACUGGGCGUAAAGCGCACGUAGGCGGAUUGGAAAGUUGGGGGUGAAAUCCCGGGGCUCAACCCCGGAACUGCCUCCAAAACUAUCAGUCUAGAGUUCGAGAGAGGUGAGUGGAAUUCCAAGUGUAGAGGUGAAAUUCGUAGAUAUUUGGAGGAACACCAGUGGCGAAGGCGGCUCACUGGCUCGAU
rnacentral:rRNA from 1 species